rnacentral:rRNA from 1 species
UAGGGAAUCUUCGGCAAUGGGGGGAACCCUGACCGAGCAAGCCGCGUGAGUGAAGAAGGUUUUCGGAUCGUAAAGCUCUGUUGUUAAGGAAGAACGAGUGUGAGAAUGGAAAGUUCAUGCUGUGACGGUACUUAACCAGAAAGGGACGGCUAACUACGUGCCAGCAGCCGCGGUAAUACGUAGGUCCCGAGCGUUGUCCGGAUUUAUUGGGCGUAAAGCGAGCGCAGGCGGUUAGAAAAGUCUGAAGUGAAAGGCAGUGGCUCAACCAUUGUAGGCUUUGGAAACUGUUUAACUUGAGUGCAGAAGGGGAGAGUGGAAUUCCAUGUGUAGCGGUGAAAUGCGUAGAUAUAUGGAGGAACACCGGUGGCGAAAGCGGCUCUCUGGUCUGUAACUGACGCUGAGGCUCGAAAGCGUGGGGAGCGAACAGG